rnacentral:tRNA from 1 species
GGCGCUGUGGCUUAGUUGGUUAAAGCGCCUGUCUAGUAAACAGGAGAUCCUGAGUUAGAAUCUCAGCAGUGCCU